UCUAGAGUAAUUUCCGAAAACUUUGCUGGAAGAAUAUUUUGGGUAAGCUCAGAAGUUCUGUAAAAAUUCUGAAUAGUUUUAGGCCGAAGUUUGGAUGAACCGUUUGUAGUUAUUUUUUUAUUUUUUUAAGAAAAAUUCUAAAUAUUCCCUCGAUAAAAUAAAAAAAAUAUUGGAUUGGAUUUCAAUUAUGCAAAGUAAAGAAAUCUAUGCCGUGGAAACUUCGUGCUUCGAAGAUGUUAACAAACUAGGUAUACUUGUUUUUAGUACACUCAGGUUUUUUUUCACACGGUUUGGUUUUAGUCGUUUAAGACCUUCAGCGUCAAUGAAACAAUGAGUUAACCCCACGAAAAAAUUCACAAAAAAUCAAAGAAAAUUCAGGUGGUAUUGAAAAAGAUGUGAAAGUUCGGGUUAACCGAAAAAUUAAUGAAUUCCAACCGUGUAAAAAAAAACCUGGGUGUAUAGCAUUUAAAAUAAAUCGACCUGAAAGAAAAUAGAGUUUUUAAAUGACGAAUAAUAACUUUCAAGGCAAUCUGUCUCCAAAUACAUCACAUCAAAAACAGUACAGAAUUAGAACAAAUUCAAAUUUAAACCAAAGGAUUGCUUAUUUUUACAGGGUACUGCUUGGUACGGAACCACAAAAUAAGUACUAAUUUGCUAUCACCUCAACAUCUUGAUAUUAAUUAUAUCUAUGGUAUGAUUAGCUCUAAACAUUCUCACGAUUGAUCCAAGCAAUAAUUA